rnacentral:rRNA from 1 species
GUCGAGGGGUAUGGUUCUUCGGAACCAGAGACCGGCGCACGGGUGCGUAACGCGUAUGCAAUCUACCUUUUACAGAGGGAUAGCCCAGAGAAGUUUGGAUUAAUACCUCAUAGCAUAGCAGCUUCGCAUGAAGCCACUAUUAAAGUCACAACGGUAAAAGAUGAGCAUGCGUCCCAUUAGCUAGUUGGUAAGGUAACGGCUUACCAAGGCUACGAUGGGUAGGGGUCCUGAGAGGGAGAUCCCCCACACUGGUACUGAGACACGGACCAGACUCCUACGGGAGGCAGCAGUGAGGAAUAUUGGACAAUGGGCGCAAGCCUGAUCCAGCCAUGCCGCGUGCAGGAUGACGGUCCUAUGGAUUGUAAACUGCUUUUGUACAGGAAGAAACAGUUCUACGUGUAGAACCUUGACGGUACUGUAAGAAUAAGGAUCGGCUAACUCCGUGCCAGCAGCCGCGGUAAUACGGAGGAUCCAAGCGUUAUCCGGAAUCAUUGGGUUUA